AUGACUCCCAUGUGGCUCUUCCUCUUCCUGCUGUCAGCUCCCAGAUGUGUCCUGUCCCAGGUGCAGCUGCAGGAGUCAGGCCCAGGACUGGUGAAGCCCUCUCAGACCCUCUCCCUCACCUGCACUGUGUCCGGGGGCUCAGUCACCAGUAGUUACUACAGGAACUGGAUCCGCCAGCCGCCAGGGAAAGGGUUGCAGUGGAUGGGGUACUGGUCAGGGGGCACAAGCUACAACCCAGCCUUCCAGGGCCGCAUCUCCAUCACUGCUGACACGGCCAAGAACCAGUUCUCCCUGCAGCUGAGCUCCGUGACCACCGAGGACACGGCCGUGUAUUACUGUGUCCUGCCACCAGCUGGGCAGCAGCCACCACCUCGGUCCUGCUGUCCCCUCUCAGUCCUCACAUUGCCAUGGGCCAGAGCAGGGCCAGAGCAGGACCAAGCGCUUCAAGAGACCUCAGUUCUCCCUCCAGGCGACUGUCAGGCCCAGUUAUCAGCAGCAGAGAAGGGCACUGAGCAAGAGGAGGCGGAGCUGCAGGAAAAGCUCCAGCGCCCAGGUCCUGAGUGCGCAUGCCCAGGGCUGGCCCAGCUGGUGCUACUGGACCUGGGGGACAUGGUGGCCUGGACCCCUGCACCCUCCGCCUCUGGCCGCUGCUGCUGGACACCAGCCUGGCGGUGA